CAGCAGCCGCGGUAAAACGUAGGUCCCGAGCGUUGUCCGGAUUUAUUGGGCGUAAAGCGAGCGCAGGCGGUUAGAUAAGUCUGAAGUUAAAGGCUGUGGCUUAACCAUAGUACGCUUUGGAAACUGUUUAACUUGAGUGCAGAAGGGGAGAGUGGAAUUCCAUGUGUAGCGGUGAAAUGCGUAGAUAUAUGGAGGAACACCGGUGGCGAAAGCGGCUCUCUGGCUUGUAACUGACGCUGAGGCUCGAAAGCGUGGGGCGCAAACAGGAUUAGAUACCCGAGUAGUCCCUGUCUCUUAUACA
rnacentral:rRNA from 1 species